rnacentral:rRNA from 1 species
GCCCUUAGAGUUUGAUCCUGGAUCAGGACGAACGCUGGCGGCGAGCUUAACACAUGCAAGUCGAACGAAGAGCGAUGGAAGCUUGCAUCUAUCAAUCUUAGAGGCGAACGGGUGAGUAACGCGUAAUCAACCUGCCCUUCAGAGGGGGACAACAGUUGGAAACGACUGCUAAUACCGCAUACGAUCCAAUCUCGGCAUCGAGGAUGGAUGAAAGGUGGCCUCUAUUUAUAAGCUAUCACUGAAGGAGGGGAUUGCGUCUCAUUAGCUAGUUGGAGGGGUAACGGCCCACCAAGGCGAUGAUCAGUAGCCGGUCUGAGAGGAUGAACGGCCACAUUGGGACUGAGACACGGCCCAGACUCCUACGGGAGGCAGCAGUGGGGAAUCUUCCGCAAUGGACGAAAAUCUGACGGAGCAACGCCGCGUGAGUGAUGACGGCCUACGGGUUGUAAAGCUCUGUUAAUCGGGACGAAAGGCCUUCUUGCGAAUAGUUAGAAGGAUUGACGGUACCGGAAUAGAAAGCCACGGCUAACUACGUGCCAGCAGCCGCGGUAAUACGUAGGUGGCAAGCGUUGUCCGGAAUUAUUGGGCGUAAAGCGCGCGCAGGCGGAUUGGUCAGUCUGUCUUAAAAGUUCGGGGCUUAACCCCGUGAUGGGAUGGAAACUGCCAAUCUAGAGUAUCGGGGAGGAAAGUGGAAUUCCUAGUGUAGCGGUGAAAUGCGUAGAUAUUAGGAAGAACACCAGUGGCGAAGGCGACUUUCUGGACGAAAACUGACGCUGAGGCGCGAAAGCCAGGGGAGCGAACAGGAUUCGAUACCCCGGUAGUCCUGGCC